CCUACGGGCGGCAGCAGUAGGGAAUCUUCCACAAUGGACGAAAGUCUGAUGGAGCAACGCCGCGUGAGUGAAGAAGGGCUUCGGCUCGUAAAGCUCUGUUGGUAGUGAAGAAAGAUAGAGGUAGUAACUGUCCUUUAUUUGACGGUACUUACUUAGAAAGUCACGGCUAACUACGUCCCAGCAGCCGCGGUAAUACGUAGGUGGCAAGCGUUGUCCGGAUUUAUUGGGCGUAAAGCGAGUGCAGGUGGUUCAGUAAGUCUGAUGUGAAAGCCUUCGGCUCAACCGGAGAAUUGCAUCAGAAACGGGUGAACUUGAGGGCAGAAGAGGGGGGUGGAACGCGAUGUGUAGCGGUGGAAUGCGUAGAUAUAUGGAAGAACACCAGUGGCGAAGGCGGCUCUCUGGUCUGCAACUGACGCUGAGGCUCGAAAGCAUGGGUAGCGAACAGGAUUAGAUACCCUGGUAGUC
rnacentral:rRNA from 1 species